rnacentral:rRNA from 1 species
CACCUCUUGAUUAAAUAUAAGAGGCCCCGCCUGCCCAGUGAUUAUUUCAACGGCCGCAGUAACCUAACCGCGCAAAGGUAGCACAAUCACUUGUUCUCUAAAUAAGGACUAGUAUGAACGGCAUCACGAAGACUAUACUGUCUCCUUUUUAUAAUCAGUGAAACUGAUCUUCCCGUGAAGAAGCGGGAAUUAUUAUAUCAGACGAGAAGACCCCAUGGAGCUUUAAGUCAAACACCAACUGCUAUACUAAAUCACUAUAACUUUGGCAGAUCUGACUGUUAACUUUCGGUUGGGGUGACCACGGAGUAAAAUAAAACCUCCACAAUGAAUGAACCAAAUCCUAAUUCAAGAAUUACAUUUCUAAAAAUCAAGACAUUGUCUUUUAUUGACCCAAGCCUUUGAUCAAUGAACCAAGUUACCCUGGGGAUAACAGCGCAAUCCAUUUCAAGAGCUCCUAUCGACAAAUGGGUUUACGACCUCGAUGUUGGAUCAGGGUAUCCUGGUGGUGCAACCGCUACUAAAGGUUCGUUUGUUCAACGAUUAAAACCCU